AUGAACGCUGGCGGCGUGCCUAAUACAUGCAAGUCGAGCGAACGGACGAGAAGCUUGCUUCUCUGAUGUUAGCGGCGGACGGGUGAGUAACACGUGGAUAACCUACCUAUAAGACUGGGAUAACUUCGGGAAACCGGAGCUAAUACCGGAUGAUAUUUUGAACCGCAUGGUUCAAAAGUGAAAGACGGUCUUGCUGUCACUUAUAGAUGGAUCCGCGCUGCAUUAGCUAGUUGGUAAGGUAACGGCUUACCAAGGCAACGAUGCAUAGCCGACCUGAGAGGGUGAUCGGCCACACUGGAGCUGAGACGCGGUCCAGACUCCUACGGGAGGCAGCAGUAGGGAAUCUUCCGCAAUGGGCGAAAGCCUGACGGAGCAACGCCGCGUGAGUGAUGAAGGUCUUCGGAUCGUAAAACUCUGUUAUUAGGGAAGAACAUAUGUGUAAGUAACUGUGCACAUCGUGACGGUACCUAAUCAGAAAGCAACGGCUAACUACGUG
rnacentral:rRNA from 1 species